rnacentral:rRNA from 1 species
UGGGGAAUUUUGGACAAUGGGGCAACCCUGAUCCAGCAAUGCCGCGUGAGCGAAGAAGGCCUUCGGGUUGUAAAGCUCUUUUGUCAGGGAAGAAACAGCAGCUCUAACACAGUCUGCGAAUGACGGUACCUGAAGAAUAAGCACCGGCUAACUAC